AAACUGAAGAGUUUGAUCCUGGCUCAGAUUGAACGCUGGCGGAAUGCUUUACACAUGCAAGUCGAACGGCAGCACGGGAGCUUGCUCCUGGUGGCGAGUGGCGAACGGGUGAGUAAUACCUAGGAACAUGUCCAGUAAUGGGGGAUAACGCAGCGAAAGCUGUGCUAAUACCGCAUACGCCCUACGGGGGAAAGCGGGGGAUUCGUAAGAACCUCGCGUUAUUGGAGUGGCCUAGGCCUGAUUAGCUAGUUGGUGAGGUAAAGGCUCACCAAGGCGACGAUCAGUAGCUGGUCUGAGAGGAUGAUCAGCCACACUGGAACUGAGACACGGUCCAGACUCCUACGGGAGGCAGCAGUGGGGAAUUUUGGACAAUGGGGGAAACCCUGAUCCAGCCAUUCCGCGUGAGUGAAGAAGGCCUUCGGGUUGUAAAGCUCUUUCAGGAGGGAAGAAACGGUUUUGGAUAAUACUCAAGACUAAUGACGGUACCUUCAGAAGAAGCACCGGCUAACUACGUGCCAGCAGCCGCGGUAAUACGUAGGGUGCGAGCGUUAAUCGGAAU
rnacentral:rRNA from 1 species